CCAAGGGUUGGGCUGUUCGCCCAUUAAAGCGGUACGCGAGCUGGGUUCAGAACGUCGUGAGACAGUUCGGUCCCUAUCCGUCGCGGGCGCAGGAAAUUUGAGAGGAGCUGUCCUUAGUACGAGAGGACCGGGAUGGACGUUCCGCUGGUGUACCAGUUGUGCCGCCAGGCGCAUCGCUGGGUAGCUAUGAACGGAAGGGAUAAACGCUGAAAGCAUCUAAGUGUGAAGCCCCCCUCGAGAUGAGAUUUCCCAUUCCUAUAUGGAAGUAAGACCCCUGAAAGAUGAUCAGGUAGAUAGGCUGGAAGUGGAAGUGCAGCGAUGCAUGGAGCGGACCAGUACUAAUCGGUCGAGGACUUAACCAA
rnacentral:rRNA from 1 species